AUGAAUCUGAGCUUGAAUGUCAAAAAUACUAGACUUUUCUUUUAAAGAAGGAAUCGUUUUGGAGAAAAAGAAACCAGCGAGACUUGGCAGUCAUGUGGGCUUGUGUGAGAAAUUAGAAACUUGAGUUGUGCUAAAUUUAGCUGGUUUUCCCCAUGGGACAUCUGAGUUCAGGGACUAUGCAAAGAAGGCUGGGACAUUUGGCUGCAGGAUUCUACAAGGCAUAACAAAAGUCCUUCUGGUUUCAUGAUGCUGAAGAGAAAAAUUCUAACUAGUUCUAAAAAUUCGUACCAAGUCCCGCCAUUCAGACAAAUAGCCGAGCACCCCUUAGGCCAGCGUCUAGAUUUUGAAGUUGUGAUGAGGCAAAGGAUGUGAAGGUAAAGAGCCAAACUCCGAACCUCCAAGUGCAGUGCUAAGUUCUUUACAGCCCCUUAGCACCGAGGAGACACAGCUCCCACGGGUCCGAAUCCAGAGCCGAGGAGAGCUAUGUUUGGAGAACAAAGAAAGGUAAGAAGAGCCAGUAUACGGCUUACCAAAGCUAAAGUUCUGGCCACAAGGCCUCUUCUGCUCAGAGACAAACCCUCAUCCCUUCUGCCUUUCCAAAGAGGACUGUGGAAACCCUCUCCAGAACAUGCGUCGGGUGGAGCCUCCACGGUGCCCCCACAGAGCAUUUCUGGCAUACACCAAAAACAGCCAUUAGACAUGGAGAGAAGCAGGAAGAAUGACUGUUCACCGUAAUCAAGAGAAAAGAUAAACAAGGAAGGAGACCCACGGGUGAUCUGGAUAUUGAAGAGGGCAGACGUUAAGGUAACUAGUUAAUGUAUUAAAUGAACCAGAAGAAGGAGCGACAAUGGUCGAAAGGCCAGGCUCAGAGCUGACAUUUGAGUGUGUGCAAAAGACACAUGAGCAUUUUCUAAGGGACAAAGAUGGUGUCCCAGUUUGUUCUCUGUUGCUGUGAGAGAACGUUGACCAAAAGCAAGGUGUAAGACGGAACAAAGCCCUCACCAACGGUCUUCAGAAGGUAGUUGGACAAGAACAAGGAAACAGCACUGCUCUGUGGUCUCUGCCUCAGUUACUGCUUCUCUCACUAACAUACCUGGCAGUACAAGGUGAAAUCAACCCUUCUGUGCCCAAGCUGUUUUCCAUCAGUGUGUUACCACAGCAACAGAGAAGCAAACGAACACUCGCUGCACUCGAGGUUAAGAACACACUGGAUGCAUUUAACAACAGGCUGGGCAGAGGCGAGGAGAUGGUGGUUACACUCUAAGACAAGACAACAGAAAACACACGACGCACGCACAGUUGGAAAGAAGGUUUGAAACAAAGGAGUCAAGCCAGUUCCUGGAGCACUGCAGGGACGGGGAAUCUACAUAUGGCGUCAUCUCUAUAUUACUAGGACUGGAGAGGUUGAAGCAGAAGGAUCCUGAGUUUAAGACCGUCCGGGAUUCCUGCCCACAGAUCAUUUACCAAGAGAAGCUAUGCAUUCAUCUGCCGCAUAAGACAGCAGCAGACAAUAUAUAUCCAAUUCAUUUUAUGUGUGGACGUCUGCCCCCCCAUCAGAUUAUUAUCCCCCACCCCAAACCUUUACCUCAGUGUUUAAAAAGACAGAGGUAUCCUUCAAUUCUUCCAUUUGACAUUUCUAUUACUAGAAAACAUGAAAACGUGCCAAGUGGAAUUCAUUUAUAAUCCCAUGCAACAGAGAGGAAUCUAAGUAAUACAAAACUGUUUCGUGAGUAUUCUCAUA